AGUGAACGCUGGCGGUAGGCCUAACACAUGCAAGUCGAACGGCAGCACAGUAAGAGCUUGCUCUUACGGGUGGCGAGUGGCGGACGAGUGAGGAAUACAUCGGCAUCUACUUUUUCGUGGGGGAUAACGUAGGGAAACUUACGCUAAUACCGCAUACGACCUACGGGUGAAAGCAGGGGAUCUUCGCACCUUGCGCGAUUGAAUGAGCCGAUGCCGCAUUAGCUAGUUGGCGGGGUAACGGCCCACCAAGGCGACGAUCCGUAGCUGGUCUGAGAGGAUGAUCAGCCACACUGGAACUGAGACACGGUCCAGACUCCUACGGGAGGCAGCAGUGGGGAAUAUUGGACAAUGGGCGCAAGCCUGAUCCAGCCAUACCGCGUGAGUGAAGAAGGCCUUCGGGUUGUAAAGCCCUUUUGUUGGGAAAGAACAGCAGCAGGUGAAUAUCCCGCUGUUCUGACGGUACCCAAAGAGUAAGCACCGGCUAACUUCGUG
rnacentral:rRNA from 1 species